AGUUACUCUUUGCAGACCCAUCUUUUGACAAUCAUUGUGCGGUGUCGGAAGGUCUGAGCAGCCUCGGGAGGCAAGCAGUCCCUGGUCCCUCAGUGUAGUCACUGGAGGAGACAGUCACUGAGAGGCAGCUGGCAGGGUGAAGGGCAAGGGGAGGCAGGCCACAGAGAUGACAGCCUUUAAGCUGUCAUACUGGGAGGUCAAGGAUCUGAAAGAGGAAGGAGAAUUCUUUAUCAUUAAGGACCUGUCCUUAUCUCAGGCAUUUCCUCCAGAGCACCACCUUUGUCCACCCACACACCUUGGGCUAGGAGGACUGGAGAAAGACAGUGAGGGGUCUCUUGGGUCUCUGGCACAGGGCAUGAUGAAGAGGUGGCAGUUUUUCAGGAAUCUCUCUCUCUAGGGAACCAAAUACAUUUCCCAUCUCAGGUCCUUCACUCAGCGGGGUUGAGGUUCUGCUCGUCACUUAUCAUCUCUGAAUGUCAGCACCCUCAAGUGUAAAAUCUCAGCCACAGCCCCUCCUCUGCACCCCCUGCAGGGCUGAUGUUCUCCAUAAACCAUAAGGCGUCAUGCCCACGGAAAAGCCGAACAGGAAAGCAUGCUCCACUGCCCCGGAGCCAUCCAAGUUCCCCCUCCAUAUUCCGCCACUGCUAAGUGUCCAGCUUAUUCCUCCUGGCAUGUAGUAAACACUUAGAGAACAUUACUGAAGUACCAGUCCUCUCUAAGGUUUUCCUGUAUUUAGUGAUUUUUUAGCCCUGUACUGUGAUACUAAGAAGUAGGGCCUAAAUAGGGCCUAAAAAGUAUUGCUAAAAUUACAUUAUGACAGUGCAGAGAACUGAGGGCAGAGGGAGGACAUGAGCUUGCCAGGUCCACAUGGCUUAGUGGAAUUUGAAUCCGGGCCCCCACUCUGCACCAGCCCUGCACUCACAGUCAUCCGGCUGUGUUCCCCUCUCCAGGAAGGCACUGCCCACGCAGUCUGUCUGAUAGAGGUGUUGAGUGCUCACUGAACUCCGUGAUCUUCCUGAAACCCAACUUUGAUUCAGUGGGCUCUGCUUGGAAGCCUGUAAAGAAAAGGAUCAUAAGUUUAAACUUAGAACAGAUUAUCACUAUUUUCCCUCUGGUCUUCUGUCAGCAAGAUGUCAACAGCCCUAUCUAUUGUAAAUGCAUUAACCAGCGUCUUCUCUGAU
ensembl:lncRNA novel transcript